rnacentral:lncRNA from 1 species
CGGCAGGGAACUGUUUUUCCAGCUAAAAGCAGGAGCAGGGAUGAUCCCUCGGCUGCCUCUGGAAUCAGAAUUCCAUGGGAAUCCGAGCUUCCAUGGGAAUGGGAGCAGCUCCUCUGAACCCUCCAGGGGGCAAUUCCAGCUCAACGCCCGCGGUUUUGGGAAAAGCGGAAUUCCUGCAGCUCCACAGCCCCGCUGAGACAGGAUGGGGUCGGGAUGGGCUUGGAUUGGGAAUUCCUGCACAAUUCCCGGCCCUUUUCCCUGUGCCAGAGGGAUCCCACAGGCUCUGCCAGGGCUCCGCUCCCGGUUUUCUGCUGCGGAUGGGAAGAGAGAUCCCAAGGAAAGGGAAGGGUUGGGAAUGGGGAGGGAGAUCCCAGAAAAAGAGAAAGGUUGGGAAUGGGAAGGGAGAUCCCAAGGAAAGGGAAGGGUUGGGAAUGGGAAGGGAGAUCCCAGCCAAGGGGAAGGGUUGGGAAUGGCCGAGGAGCGGAGGCCGAGCCCGGCUCAGAUCCCGAUCCCGCUCUGCCACUUCCAGCGGUGGCAGCAGGUGACAGAGCCGCUCCCUCUGCCCGCAGAGGGGACACAGAGAGCCGGGAAUGCCAGGAAAAGCCUCAGCAGGGCAGGAUCGGGAUCCUCUGGCACAGGGAGCCAGGGCUGGAGCCGGGAGACGCUGCCCCAUGUCCCCGGCGCCACCCGAGGGACAUCCCAGGACAAUCCCAGGACAGGGAAUCUUGUCCUGAGCCAGCUCCCGUCACCGCAGGCUCGGGAUGAGCGGGCCGAGGAUGAGCCAUCCCCAUCGCGGCUUUUCCAGGGGCUCUGCCCGCAUCCAGGCUGCGGGAUCGGGGCUCCAGGGAGGGCAGGGCUGGCUCCUGGCUCGGCACCAGCGCCGCGUCCCGAGGAGGGGACAGGGAGGGGACAGGGAGGGGACACAGAGGGGACACAGGAGGGGACACAGGAGGGGACAGAGGUGGCUCCGGAGCUGCCGGCACAUCCAGCCUGGAGGAAGCGGAUCCCGGUGCCCAGGAGCGAUGGCAGCACCCACC